GCUAGUAUUUAAAAAAUUAUUUUCUUAAGAAAAAACAAUUCAACCGGUAUACAUAUUCCUAUUAUUAUUUUCAAUUUCUCCCCUAUCUAUCCUAGAAGCCUAGAAGAAAUUAUUAAAAAAAAUAUUGAAAAUAGCGAAAGUUUGCUCUCAUCCAUUGAGAGAGCUAAAGAGGCAAACAUAAUAAAUAAAUUACAACAUAAUAAACAAAAAAUAUGACAUACAACAUAAUAUAAAGUGAUCAAUAAAUUUUACAAGCUUAAGGAGGAAAAUAUGGCUGAAACUAUUAAAUUUGUAUUUUUUAUAAUCUUAUUUAUUUUCUUAUUUAUUGUUGUAAUUGAUGCUGGAGAACGGAAAUCGGGGGCGCCAAAUUGCAAGAAAAUUUCAGAUUGCCCACCAAGAUUUUGUCUGCCUCCUUUGAUUGCAAAAUGUAAUUCUCGUAGAUGUUACUGUGUUUAAUAAAAUGUAUCAUGCACAAAUACUUCUUUCCAUUUCAAGAACACAUUUUCAGUAAUAAUAUUUGAUGAAUAAUUGAUGAAAAUGUAUAAUGGCCAACUCUAUUUUUUAUUCGGAGGAGUUUUAAGUCUC